CUCAACCUGGGAAUGGCAUCCGGAACUGUUUGGCUAGAGUGCAGGAGAGGAAGGUAGAAUUCCCGGUGUAGCGGUGAAAUGCGUAGAGAUCGGGAGGAAUACCAGUGGCGAAGGCGGCCUUCUGGACUGACACUGACGCUGAGGUGCGAAAGCGUGGGUAGCAAACAGGAUUAGAUACCCUGGUAGUCCACGCUGUAAACGAUGUCGACUAGCCGUUGGGUCCCUUGAGGACUUUGUGGCGCAGUUAACGCGAUAAGUCGACCGCCUGGGGAGUACGGCCGCAAGGUUAAAACUCAAAUGAAUUGACGGGGGCCCGCACAAGCGGUGGAGCAUGUGGUUUAAUUCGAUGCAACGCGAAGAACCUUACCUACCCUUGACAUCCUCGGAAUCUGCCAGAGAUGGUGGAGUGCCUUCGGGAACCG
rnacentral:rRNA from 1 species